rnacentral:rRNA from 1 species
CAGCCGCCACGGGAAUACGAAGGGUGCAAGCGUUAAUCGGAAUUACUGGGCGUAAAGCGUACGUAGGCGGUUUGUUAAGUCUGUUGUGAAAUCCCCGGGCUCAACCUGGGAAUGGCAAUGGAUACUGGCAAGCUAGAGUGUGUCAGAGGAUGGUGGAAUUCCCGGUGUAGCGGUGAAAUGCGUUGAGAUCGGGAGGAACAUCAGUGGCGAUGGCGGCCAUCUGGGACAACACUGACGCUGAGGCACGAAAGCGUGGGGAGCAAACAGGAUUAGAUACCCGGGUAGUCCCUGUCUCUUAUAC